AUGCCCAAGCCCCACCAAGCCUCGCCAGCGCCGCCGACGCCGCUCCAGCUCCCGCUCUCCAUCCUCCCGCCGCGGGGCUGCCCGCUCGCCACCGCGCUGCUGGCGCUGCUCUCGCUGCUCCUCGCCACCGCGCUGUGGCUCGUGCUCGUGCUGUCCCCGGCCCAGGCCCCCGUGGCGUCCUCCUCCUCCGCGCUGUCCUACGCGGCGGCGGCGGAUGAGGCGCUCUCCGCCGGCGACGCGUCCUCCCCGCUUUCGCUCGCCCACAUCGUCUUCGGGAUCGCCGGCUCGGCGCACCUCUGGCCGCGUCGCCGCGAGUACAUCCGCCUCUGGUGGGAUCCCGCCUCCAUGCGCGGCCACGUCUGGCUCGACGCCAGCGCGCCCGGCGCGCCGGGGCCCAGCGCUGCCGGGGAGGACUCGCUCCCGCCGAUCCGGGUGUCCGAGGACACCUCGCGCUUCCGGUACACCAACCCGACGGGCCACCCUUCUGGGCUCCGGAUCGCGCGCAUCGCUGCCGAGGCCGUGCGGCUCGUGGGGGGUGGGGGCGCGCGGUGGGUGGUGCUCGUGGACGACGACACCGUGCUGUCCCCGGACAACCUGGUGGCGGUGCUCGGGAAGUACGACUGGAGGGAGAUGGUGUACGUCGGGGCCCCGUCGGAGAGCCACUCGGCCAAUACCUAUUUCAGCCACGGCAUGGCGUUCGGAGGCGGAGGCGUCGCGCUCAGCUUCCCCCUCGCCGCUGCGCUCGCGCGGACACUCGACGUGUGCAUCGAGAGGUACCCCAGGCUGUAUGGAAGCGACGACCGCCUCCAUGCUUGCAUCACGGAGCUUGGCGUGCCCCUUUCCCGCGAAUAUGGCUUCCAUCAGUGGGAUAUCAGAGGCAAUGCCCAUGGUAUAUUGGCUGCUCAUCCAAUCGCUCCUUUCAUCAGUAUCCACCAUGUGGAGUUUGUGGAUCCUAUAUAUCCUGGAUUGAACUCUCUUGAGAGCUUGGAGCUUUUUACGAAGGCUAUGAAAAUAGAACCCAUGAGCUUCUUGCAGCGCUCAGUUUGUUAUGAUAAGAGGCAGAAGCUUACACUUGCCAUCUCUUUGGGUUAUGUUGUUCAAGUGUACCCCAGUGUUCUUCUUCCUCCUGAAUUGGAGCGAUCCGAGCGGACUUACAUCGCUUUUAAUAGGAUGAGCCAGAGAACUGAAUUUGAUUUUGACACCAAGGAAAUUCAGAAGUCUAUGUGCAAGAGGCCAGUCUUAUUUUUCUUGAAGGAUGUUUGGAAGGAUGGGAACAUAACUAGAGGCUCUUACAUAAGGUCAAGUGAACGGGAUGACCUCAAAAGGAAGGUGUUUUGCUUUAGGUCACCUCCUUUAUCUGGCAUAGAUGAGAUUCAAGUUUCUGCGUCCCCAUUAAGCAAAAGAUGGCAUCUGGCACCAAGAAGGUUAUGCAGUGCUGUGAAAGAAUCUAUUAAUGGUACUCUGUUUAUGUUUGUUCGGCAAUGUGGGCGCAGAGCAUUCGGCUCCGCUUCUGAUUCUCUUGAUUGA
rnacentral:rRNA from 1 species